rnacentral:rRNA from 1 species
GAUGAACGCUGGCGGUAUGCUUAACACAUGCAAGUCGAACGGACUCUUCGGAGUUAGUGGCGGACGGGUGAGUAACGCGUGAGAAUCUGGCUUUGGGUUCGGGACAACCACUGGAAACGGUGGCUAAUACCGGAUGUGCCGAGAGGUAAAAGAGAAAUUGCCUGAAGAUGAGCUCGCGUCUGAUUAGCUAGUUGGUGAGGUAAAGGCUCACCAAGGCAGCGAUCAGUAGCUGGUCUGAGAGGAUGACCAGCCACACUGGGACUGAGACACGGCCCAGACUCCUACGGGAGGCAGCAGUGGGGAAUUAUCCGAAAUGGGCGAAAGCCUGACGGAGCAAUACCGCGUGAGGGAAGAAGGCUCUUGGGUUGUAAACCUAUUUUCUUAGGGAAGAACAAAAUGACGGUACCUAAGGAAUCAGCAUCGGCUAACUCCGUG